UACGUAGGGUGCGAGCGUUGUCCGGAAUUAUUGGGCGUAAAGAGCUCGUAGGCGGUUUGUCGCGUCUGCUGUGAAAUCCCGAGGCUCAACCUCGGGCCUGCAGUGGAUACGGGCAUCACUUGAGUUCGGCAGGGGAGACUGGAAUUCCUGGUGUAGCGGUGAAAUGCGCAGAUAUCAGGAGGAACACCGGUGGCGAAGGCGGGUCUCUGGGCCGAUACUGACGCUGAGGAGCGAAAGCAUGGGUAGCGAACAGG
rnacentral:rRNA from 1 species